UACGUAGGGUGCAAGCGUUGUCCGGAAUUAUUGGGCGUAAAGAGCUCGUAGGCGGCCUGUCGCGUCGGCUGUGAAAACCCGGGGCUCAACCCCGGGCCUGCAGUCGAUACGGGCAGGCUAGAGUCCGGCAGGGGAGACUGGAAUUCCUGGUGUAGCGGUGAAAUGCGCAGAUAUCAGGAGGAACACCGGUGGCGAAGGCGGGUCUCUGGGCCGGAACUGACGCUGAGGAGCGAAAGCGUGGGGAGCGAACAGG
rnacentral:rRNA from 1 species